rnacentral:rRNA from 1 species
GACGAACGCUGGCGGCGUGCCUAAUACAUGCAAGUAGAACGCUGAAGGAGGAGCUUGCUUCUCUGGAUGAGUUGCGAACGGGUGAGUAACGCGUAGGUAACCUGCCUGGUAGCGGGGGAUAACUAUUGGAAACGAUAGCUAAUACCGCAUAAUAGCAGUUGUUGCAUGACAACUGUUUGAAAGGUGCAAUUGCACCACUACCAGAUGGACCUGCGUUGUAUUAGCUAGUUGGUGGGGUAACGGCUCACCAAGGCGACGAUACAUAGCCGACCUGAGAGGGUGAUCGGCCACACUGGGACUGAGACACGGCCCAGACUCCUACGGGAGGCAGCAGUAGGGAAUCUUCGGCAAAGGACGGAAGUCUGACCGAGCAACGCCGCGUGAGUGAAGAAGGUUUUCGGAUCGUAAAGCUCUGUUGUAAGAGAAGAACGAGUGUGAGAGUGGAAAGUUCACACUGUGACGGUAUCUUACCAGAAAGGGACGGCUAACUACGU